rnacentral:rRNA from 1 species
CGAACGGGUGAGUAACACGUGAGUAACCUGCCCCCUUCUUUUGGAUAACCGCAUGAAAGUGUGGCUAAUACAGGAUAAUCCAGGCUGGUCGCAUGAUUGGUUUGGGAAAUGGUUUGGUCUGGUGGGGGAUGGGCUCGCGGCCUAUCAGCUUGUUGGUGGGGUGAUGGCCUACCAAGGCGGUGACGGGUAGCCGGCCUGAGAGGGUGGGCGGUCACACUGGGACUGAGAUACGGCCCAGACUCCUACGGGAGGCAGCAGUGGGGGAUUUUGCACAAUGGGCGCAAGCCUGAUGCAGCGACGCCGCGUGAGGGAUGAAGGCCUUCGGGUUGUAAACCUCUUUCGCUUGGUUGAAAGGCCAUGCUUUGGGUGUGGUUGAUUUGAACUGGUAAAGAAGUACCGGCUAACUACGUGCCAGCAGCCGCGGUAAUACGUAGGGUACUAGCGUUGUCCGGAUUUAUUGGGCGUAAAGGGCUUGUAGGUGGUUUGUCGCGUCUGUCGUGAAAUCCUGUGGCUUAACCAUGGGCUUGCGGUGGGUACGGGCAGGCUUGAGUGCGGUAGGGGAGACUGGAAUUCCUGGUGUAGCGGUGGAAUGCGCAGAUAUCAGGAGGAACACCGG